UGGGGAAUUUUGCGCAAUGGACGAAAGUCUGACGCAGCAACGCCGCGUGGGUGAUGAAGGUCUUCGGAUUGUAAAACCCUGUCGUCAGGGACGAAGGUCGGGAUGUUAAUAGCGUCUUGGCUUGACGGUACCUGGAGAGGAAGCCCCGGCUAACUCUGUGCCAGCAGCCGCGGUAAUACAGAGGGGGCAAGCGUUAUUCGGAAUUAUUGGGCGUAAAGGGCGCGUAGGCGGUUCUUUAAGUGAGAUGUGCAAUCCCCGGGCUCAACCUGGGAACUGCAUCUCAUACUGGAGAGCUAGAGUGCUGGAGAGGGUGGUAGAAUUCCACGUGUAGCGGUGAAAUGCGUAGAGAUGUGGAGGAAUACCAGUGGCGAAGGCGGCCACCUGGACAGUAACUGACGCU
rnacentral:rRNA from 1 species